CACGUAGGGCGCGAGCGUUGUCCGGAAUUAUUGGGCGUAAAGAGCUCGUAGGCGGCCUGUUGCGUCCGCUGUGAAAGCCCGGGGCUUAACCCCGGGUCGGCAGUGGAUACGGGCAGGCUAGAGGUAGGUAGGGGAGAAUGGAAUUCCCGGUGUAGCGGUGAAAUGCGCAGAUAUCGGGAGGAACACCGGUGGCGAAGGCGGUUCUCUGGGGACCAUCUGACGCUGAGGCGCGAAAGCGUGGGGAGCGAACCGG
rnacentral:rRNA from 1 species